AUUGAACGCUGGCGGCAGGCUUAACACAUGCAAGUCGAACGAGUGGCGGACGGGUGAGUAAUGCUUGGGAAUCUAGCUUAUGGAGGGGGAUAACUACGGGAAACUGUAGCUAAUACCGCGUACCAUAGGAUGAGCCCAAGUGGGAUUAGGUAGUUGGGGGGGUAAUGGCCUACCAAGCCGACGAUAUCUAGCUGGUCUGAUAGGAGGACCAUCCACACCGGGACUGAGACACGGCCCGGACUCCUACGGGAGGCAGCAGUGGGGAAUAUUGCGCAAUGGGGGCAACCUGACGCAGCCAUGCCGCGUGAAUGAAGAAGGCGUUCGGGUUGUAAAGUUCUUUCGGUGACGAGGCGUUAAUCACAGAAGAAGCACCGGCUAACUCCGUGCCAGCAGCCGCGGUAAUAC
rnacentral:rRNA from 1 species